rnacentral:rRNA from 1 species
AUUGAACGCUGGCGGCAUGCCUUACACAUGCAAGUCGAACGGUAACGGGCCUUCGGGUGCCGACGAGUGGCGGACGGGUGCGUAAUACAUCGGAACGUGCCCGAUCGUGGGGGAUAACGAGGCGAAAGCUUUGCUAAUACCGCAUACGAUCUACGGACGAAAACCGGGGACUGCAAGGCCUUGCGCGGACGGAGCGGCCGAUGGCAGAUUAGGUAGUUGGUGGGAUAAAGGCUUACCAAGCCGACGAUCUGUAGCUGGUCUGAGAGGAUGAUCAGCCACACUGGGACGGAGAACCGGCCCAGACUCCUACGGGAGGCAGCAGUGGGGAAUUUUGGACAAUGGGCGCAAGCCUGAUCCAGCCAUGCCGCGUGCAGGAUGAAGGCCUUCGGGUUGUAAACUGCUUUUGUACGGAACGAAAAGCCUUCUUUUAAUACAGGAGGGUCAUGACGGUACCGUAAGAAUAAGCACCGGCUAACUACGUG